rnacentral:miRNA from 1 species
UGUGAUACUUCUCCAGAGCUUUCUUUGAAAUGAGCUUCCUCAUCAUUUAAUGGUUCCAGAAUGAAUUGAAACCCACAGUGCCUCCAAAUUCAUCCUUGAAAAAUGGCUAGAUAAAUACCAUUAAAUGAUGAGGAAGCUCAUUUCAAAGAAAGCUCUGGAGAAGUAUCACAG